rnacentral:lncRNA from 1 species
GCUCUUUUGGAAUAUCUUUUUAAUUCUUGUUAUAUAUAAAAUGUUACUUGAACUAUUUGAAAUGAUUUUAAUUACAUUUUGAAAUUGUAGUUUGUGUGUUAAUUGAGAUAUUGAAAUAUAAUUUCAUGCAAAUCGGAGAACUAUAUUAUGCGAACGAACCGGACUGUGGAAAUUCUCGAACUUCCGGGAAUUAUCCAUGUCGAAAAAUAUAAGACAACAUGUUUACCGUUACACAGAUCAUUUUUAAAGCAACACACAAAGAAGAUAAUAAUUAAAUAGUUCAAAAUGUAUGGAAUAGUUGAAAACAGAAUUUGGAAUUUAUUUAAACAAUACAAUAGUGUGAAUUGUGUUUCUGAUAACCAAGAACAAUCUGGCUGGAUAUUUUGCGGAGUAAGUCGUAAUUCUGAUCCCAGCUCACAAGAAAUUGUAAGAACACUUAUUGACAGUUCUUUAAAGGAGUAUUACUUUGCCAACAAUCCUUUGUCAGACGGUUGGAACCAUUAUUCAACAAAGAUUGCAAGAGAAGCCGCCGGAUAAGUAGUUUCAUUUAAAAUUAUGCCAUAUGGGAAACGAUUUGACC